UAUAAAAUUAAUUCUUUACAAUAUAUUUCCAAAUAAUUUUGAGUGCUUUAGAUUCGCAGUCAUUUACGCAAGAGCUUUUAAGUUCAUCGAUCAUUGACGAAACCAUCCUUUGGGUAUUUGAAUCUAAUUGAAAAAAAUGCAUGCAGCGAGGACUUUUGACACUGAAAUGGCUUUUUUGCCUUCCACGCUUCAAUACACCGCUUCAGUCGGCCAUUUAGAUUUUUUCUGUAAAACGGUCACUCACACUUCGGCUUUAUAUAGGUCAUAAUGGCCUUUUGGUCGCCGUUAAAGUCAUAUCAAAAACUAAAUUUAACAUUUAAUUUUAAUGGCAUUUUGAAUAGGUAUACAGUAUAUUACUUGUGUAUAAAAAUUACGAUAAGUGUAAUUAAAAAGGUACAAUAAACAGUAAUGACUCGCCUGCAAAUCUAGGAGAACAGAAUCCAGACCGUUUGGCCUUUCGACCGUUCUAAGGUGUGGCUCUUCCUCACAACAAACGCUUGAGUGACGUUGAUUUACAGUUGUAGUUUUAAUUGAGCGCAUAGACGAGCCAGAACCGGGAUGAAAUGUUUACCAUACAUAAUUUGCUACUGGAAGUUUUACGCACGUUCGAAAAUUUCGAUUUCGUGUUUUAUUUUUUCAAUGCGUAACUUUACGCAAAGAUUUGAAAUCUAAAUCGUUAUUUAAGAAAUUUAAUUCGUUUUUACGCCUUUACGCAUGUUAUCUGGAGCACUGAAGGUUGGAGACUACAUGAGAUUUUGACAGAUGGCGGGAAACCCUCAUCAACUGGAGAUCAGCCGGUAAAAAGGUGGCCUUAAAACAGUGACCGUUGAUUCGCGUCGAGUUCUUUCUUACAUACUGCAUGACCUAUCUUUUUUAUUGUUUAAAUCCAUUCGGCUUGGCAUGCUCUUUAAGAAAAGGUAUGGGUAUGGGGGUGUCUACGCGCAAAAGUUUGACUUUAUUUUUCGUUGAAGUUGUUGAUUUUACAUUGAAUUUGUUAAGGAAAUCUUUUGGUAUAUUGUAACCUAAACUAACUUUAGGUAAAAAUGAAAUAUCAUCUGCAAGUGCAAAAUAUGACUGGUAAAGCUGAUUUUUGGUCAUUUCUUAGCAAAAGAGAAGAUUAUAAGUGCAUUAAAUGCAUGAAUUCAGAUGAUUUGACCCCAAAAAGUUGUUUUUCAAGUUGACCCUCCACCCUUAUAUAGCCGAAUAAGGGCUAAAUUGCUUUCCAACUUAAGUUCAAAGGCAUAUUGGUUGACCGUGUAGCAUUAAUGUACUACAUGAUGUCAGAAUUCAACGCCUGGGUCUCCGUGAUCCAGUAACGCAACAAUAGCUUGUGCGUAAAGCAUUAACAUUCAAACAGAGCCCCAUUUCACCGAUAUGGAAUGGCGGACAUUUUUACAGAUUGGACAGUGCAGCAGAUGCUUAGCUGAGCCAGCCUUCAUAUUUAGUACAAUCAUGAAUAUAACAAGCUUUAUCACUACAUAUUAUUCUUAUAAAUACACUUAAAAUACAUAAAUGCAUGUGUUUUUUUCAUUUUAUAUCUAUUUCAAUUGGGUAUUUUGACUUUUUCAGGUAGAGGAAUGUCUGCGACUAAGCCGAGGGCCACUGCAUAAGGGUUAUUGAUGGCAAAACAGGUAGAGGAAUGUCUGCGACUAAGCCGAGGGCCACUGCAUAAGGGUUAUUGAUGGCAAAACAGGUAGAGGAAUGUCUGCGACUAAGCCGAGGGCCACUGCAUAAGGGUUAUUGAUGGCAAAACAGGUAGAGGAAUGUCUGCGACUAAGCCGAGGGCCACUGCAUAAGGGUUAUUGAUGGCAAAACAGGUUGGAGACUACAUGAGAUUUUGACAGAUGGCGGGAAACCCUCAUCAACUGGAGAUCAGCCGGUUGAUCGUGAGGUAGACAGCAGUGUCAUCAGCGAAGAGACGGACUUGGGAUCUUACAUGAUCUGGUCUCCAGUGUCAAGGUCACGACCCGUGUAUAACUGGGACCACAUUGGACACUCACAACCCCGCCCCACGUCCAGCCCUUGGGAAUCCAGGAGCUGGAGAGUCCCUCGCUCAACACGCCACACUGACCCUGGAGGGAAAUAAUAUAAAAAAAGAAUAUGUUCUGGGUCUAUUGCAUGUGUAACACCAGAUUAUCCUGAGACGAGACUUUCUGCUUUACGCAAUUCAUUUAGCCCAGUUUUCUCAGAACGCGGCUCAUAUAGUUGAAACAACCAAACCUUACAUUGUUAAACACAGGCACAUUUCUUAUCUACAGGUAACCUCAUGAGGAGAUACAAUAAAGCAAAAUUAACAAAUUGAAAGAAGCAGUGACCUCAACAUGACAAGACGUACUGAACACCAAGUAGUAGACGCACACAAUGAAUAGAUAUCAGCAGACACACUACAGAAAAAUGCUGAGCGAAGAACAUAAAGUUGUAUGAAAGAUGAACUGUGUUUGUGAAAGACAAUCUACCAUACAUUGAAGUGUUUAGGAAAAAGUAACUCGUAACUUUGCAAAAUAUCAAUGGACCAGAACAACCAGCCUUUCUCUGAAAGCCAUUUUAGGUAGACUCACAUACCAAUAUCCAGAUAAGUAUCUGAAAUCGUUUCGGGUAAAAUCCGGAUGUGCUAUUUUAGAGAAAUUAUUAAUUUCAAGGCCCGUAACUUAGUUAAAAAAAUGAAUCGCGCCGAAACUAUAACUUGAUUUGUAAGUCAUGUAUGUAGAAUUGCACACCACAAAUAAGGUUAGUAUCUAAAAGCACUUAGGACAAAAAGUCCGGAAAAUGUUAAUUUAAAAAAACAAGCUUAGUCCAAGACCCGUAACUUCAUCAAAAAUCAAUUGAUGAACUUGAACUAUUAGUUAUGAAGGAAGACUCAACAUAUCUAAAACAAGGCAAAUACCUGAAAAACAUGUAAAUUUCUGAAAACGUUUAGGAAAGUAACUCCGGAAACGGAAUGCCGGAUGUACAGACAGACGGACGGACGAAAAGUGAGACUGCUAUAUAUUACCCUUCCGGGGGCAUAAACAACAGCUAACAAGAGGAGAAAAUGCAAAAUAACGUCAAGCAAAAUAUAACAGCGGACAAGUGGAACUACCUAUCACAUUUGUGCGGCUCACACUUACUAAUACUUUAGGCUAUUUUAAACAAUUCAUGAAAGACAUGGAAAUAUUGUCUAAAAAUCUUCAAUAAAUGAUCACAAUGACCGUCUUCAGGGCGAUUUCAAAUUCCUUGAAUGUGUAUUGUUUAUUUUUUAAAGGCAGAUUAUGA